UAGGGAAUCUUCCACAAUGGACGCAAGUCUGAUGGAGCAACGCCGCGUGAGUGAAGAAGGUCUUCGGAUCGUAAAGCUCUGUUGUUGGUGAAGAAGGAUAGAGGCAGUAACUGGUCUUUAUUUGACGGUAAUCAACCAGAAAGUCACGGCUAACUACGUGCCAGCAGCCGCGGUAAUACGUAGGUGGCAAGCGUUGUCCGGAUUUAUUGGGCG
rnacentral:rRNA from 1 species